CAUUACUGAAGAAAAGGGAUUUUUGAGACUGCGUCCUCAGYGGNGUGUGCUCGAAUCCUGACCUCUUUCAUCCAUAUACACCUGCNNACUUUGGGACGUCAAAGUCCCCUUUUUAACAUAAACACCGAGUUAUAUGCAUGUAUUUCUAUACUCUAUGGAGUAAAAACAACUUUCAACAACGGAUCUCUUGGCUUUCGCAUCGAUGAAGAACGCAGCGAACGUGCGAAACGUAAUGUGAAUUGCAGAAUUCAGUGAAUCAUCGAAUCUUUGAACGCAUCUUGCGCUCCUUGGCAUUCCGAGGAGCAUGCCUGUUUGAGUGUCGUGAAAUACUCUCAAUUUCAACUUUUGAAAUUGGAUUUGGUUGUUGUCGUGGAUGUUUCACGACUCAUCCUAAAUGCAUUAGCGAUCUGCCUUUGAUCACACGCAAUGUGAUAAUUUACAAGCAUUGUGAAAGAUUGAAGUGUGAGGAUAGCUUCUAACUGUCUACGGACAACGCAUAUAUGUCAUUUGACCUCAGAUCAGGUAGGACUACCCGCUGAACUUAAGCAUAUCAAUA
rnacentral:rRNA from 1 species